rnacentral:rRNA from 1 species
AUUGAACGCUGGCGGCAGGCCUAACACAUGCAAGUCGAAUGGUAACAGGAAACAGCUUGCUGUUUCGCUGACGAGUGGCGGACGGGUGUGUAAUGUCUGGGAAACUGCCUGAUGGAGGGGGAUAACUACUGGAAACGGUAGCUAUUACCGCAUAACGUCGCAAGACCAAAGUGGGGGACCUUCGGGCCUCUUGCCAUCAGAUGUGCCCAGAUGGGAUUAGCUAGUAGGUGGGGUAACGGCUCACCGAGGCGACGAUCCCUAGCUGGUCUGAGAGGAUGACCAGCCACACUGGAACUGAGACACGGUCCAGACUCCUACGGGAGGCAGCAGUGGGGAAUAUUGCACAAUGGGCGCAAGCCUGAUGCAGCCAUGCCGCGUGUAUGAAGAAGGCCUUCGGGUUGUAAAGUACUUUCAGCGGGGAGGAAGGGAGUAAAGUUAAUACCUGUGCUCAUUGACGUUACCCGCAGAAGAAGCACCGGCUAACUCCGUG